GCACCUCCAGAUGGUAGUCUCCAUGACCUGCAGCGUGGUCAUAUGGCAUCUGGGAGGGCGACAUGUGGCUGUAGUGUCUGUGGAACUUGGGGAUGGGCGUCUGGCCGGCGCUGCUGGGUGAAACUGUAAGACGUCAUACACUCACCUCCACUUUCAAUAAGGACGUCAAGAAGUUCGUCCAUCUGCUGGCUUCUGGCCAUCUGCUACAAAGGAGAUAACACACGUAUCACUUCUGCAAGCCAUCAAACUUCCAAAGCUGGCCUUGGGGGGCAGAUCAUGCAAUGUGUGAAAGCAAGGAGGCGUGCAUGACGAGUGAAGGCAGCAGAGAAGAGGAAUAGUGUGGUUGUCAGCAAAUAAGCCAGAAGCUGGUGCAGUGGAGGAAGGCACAGGCUGCUAUCAGCUGUGAUUGGGGGACUUGUUUACCUGCUUCACUGCAUCUUCAUAGCAUGGGGGCUGUUUAAUGGCAGAUGCAGAGUCUGAGCUACAGAAGGCAGUGGUGGAGGCAGCACACUUUUGGUCAACAUGUCUGGGAGAGUGUAAUAUUGCCAUCUAAAUGAGGAAAUAGGGUGAAAUGUUACACCUCAGACAAGGAAGGAGGGACCGGAGAAAAGCUGAGGAGGUCUCUAAGGUCACAAAGUGUCAAGUUCAUGUGAAGCAGGCACUGUGGCCCAGUCCCAUUUCACCCACCCAAUUUGUAGCACCUCUCCAUAUUAACAGGUACAGGUAGGGAGCCUUUAUUCUUGUUGGGAUAGAGGGGCACAUUCCGGAUGCGGAUGGAGAUGUUAUGAGAAAUGACUAGCAACAUGACAAUAGCUAUUAUGAUACAUACUGUACUGUCUUAGUUUAUUGUAAUUUCAAUGGAUAAAAUUAUGGAUAGUAAAAUAAAAAAAAAAACAAAUCGGUAGAAGUAUAUACAUUUUCCAUUCAAACCUAAAUGAUGCAGCAGUUUGUCACAUUCUGUCACUUGAGGCUGCUGCUUGAUUUAAUGUGGAAUAAGAUGGUUUGAACAAGAAGCUUAAUUUCCCAUUCCAUCUUAGAAUGUAACUGCCACACCAUUUAAGGGGGAGUGGGAAAUUAAGCUUCUUGUUUGAAUAUUCUAAUUUCACCUUAAAUUAAGUCUUGGUGACAGAAAUGUAACUGGUGCACAGUUUGUCACUGAAAGCUUGAUUUAAGGUGAAAUUAUAUGAUUUGAACAAAAGUCUUAUUUCCUGUUCCACCUUAAAUUGUGCAGCAGUUACACUCUGCAUGUUUUGCCAUAUAAAAGAGGAAAAGGAACAGCAGUUUUACUUUUCUGCCUAUUUGGUCUGGAAUUAUCUAUAAACAGUAGUUCACGUAUUACUGUAUGAAAUGUGUCUUUUCAUACCUCAAAUUCUUCUAUAUGUUUUGGCAUGUGAGAACCACAUGACCAUAAUCAUGCCCAUUCAGAGACUUGUGACUUCUUUUCAUGUUUAUACAGUUGAGUGAAUGCAGUGAAGACAUGUGAUCAGAUAGUUAUGGGGAUAAUUAAGUAUUAAGAAUGAUCUGAUGGUGUGAAAUUAAAGAACCAGGGUAAACGUGAGAAUUAGUUUGCUGACAGAUAGGAAGCAUCACAAGAGUGAAAUGUGGGAAAUGGUCAGCUUUGUGUGUGAUGGGUUCUCCAGCUAGAUUUUGUGCAUGAAUAAGGUUAAGAAGGUGGGAUAAUCUGGAUUAGUCGCAUCUCCUCACAAACCUUGUGC